UUUGUUUUUUGGCAAUUCCCACUUGAAUUGAAUUAUUUAUAUAUUUGUUUGUGUUGUUUACUGUUAAGUGUACGUUGUAAUUCAACAGUGAAAGUCUGCCACUUUAAUACCGUAUAAAUAUUUAACACUUGUACUCUCAUGACACCAAUAUUCUUAGCAGAGCAUUUACCCUAAACAUAAAAUCAUAGACUCACUCUGACAUUGGCAAAUCCUCACGGAAGCCAUUAUA